CUUGAGAAUAAACAAUGACGGAAAUUUGAGAAAGGUCAUGCUCAUUAACAACGGCGAGGGCCGUCUGCUCUCGGAUAGUCCCACUUACGAGAGUGCGGCAAAAAAGUUCUGAAGAAUGAGAAGAAGAGGUUGUUGACCUCGAUGGGGGAAGCCAGCUGCUUAGGUGUUAGAUUUUUGUACGGCAUGAGAAUAGUUGCAGCAACUUGAAAGGGACAAA
ensembl:ncRNA ZK381.47 ncRNA